rnacentral:misc_RNA from 1 species
AACGCAUAUUGCGCCCUCUGGUAUUCUGGGGGGCAUGCCUGUUUGAGUGCCCAGAAAUACACUCAACUCAAAACUUGCUUUUGGGUUGGAGGGUGGGGGACUUGCCUUGCUCGUCUGACGAGGCUCCCCUCAAAUACCUUAGCUGGCCUUGCUUUGCCGGUCUGCCUCUUUGGCUUGAUAGUCUUGUCGAUGCCGUGGAGCGACUUUGGUGGGCUGCUUACAGUCGUCCCUCUCGGGGGACAGCUUUUGCUUUCUGAGCUUUGGGCCUCAAAUCAGGUAGGACUACCCGCUGAACUUAA